AAAGAUAGAGCAGCUGAAGUGACACAAGUGGCAGGUUUAUUAGUCUGAUAAGUGUUCCUAUUGUACUUAAGUUGGUGGUGGUUGAGACUAUGAUUGAGGUGAUAUUAAUACUGAUGACAAUGUGAUGAAUCUAAGUGAUAUUAGCGCUACUUACAGCGGUAGCAGCACUCUCUUAGCAGAUGAAGAAUAACGAUUGUACAGCGCUGGUGACAAUGACGAUAGUGUAAGGAAAUGAGUUGAGUUUGAAUAUUGUAAGAAGUAGCAACAUUUUCAUUAUGGAGAAAUUAGGCUUUUGCUAAAGCGAGCAAUACACGAGAGUAGAAGAUAGAAGGAUGAAUACUAAAAGCAGGAAGAAAGAAGAAAAGAACCUGAAAAGAAAGAAUAAUCGAUGCCGUGUUGUAAAGAAGGUGUGGUGACUGCCACGUGAUUAUAUGUGACGUCAAUCGAUUGCUGACGUAAUACGAGCUUGCUUAGAUAUAGUCGCUUAUGGCCCCUCUCUUACUGAGGAACAAGUGGGAAGAAAGACAGCCAAUGCUGAAAAUACAAAGGAAAAUAUUGCUACAUGUCAAAAUGGCAAAAGAAUUAUGUUGGAAGUAAUAUUAUUUAUUGGUUCGUCAACAGUGAAAAUGAAGUAUUUACCUGCCACAUAGAGACCGUUUUGUCAGAAGGAUACAGGAAGGAUCAAAUUAUAUAGAAAUAAAAUAUUUUUUCCA